AGAUUUUUUUUAAAAAAAUUAUUAUUAUUGUUUAUUUUGAGGUAGAAAGAGCUGUUAUCAGUAAUGAUUAGAGAUUCCAUGACAAUAUCAGAAUUCGAACUGGAUUGGAUUGGAUUGGAUUAUGAAUAUCCUUUAACCAUAUAAAAAAACUUUGUCCACCUAAGAGCAAAUUUAGUUAGGUUAGUUGAGACCUUAAAACUGUCAUUGAAGAGUGAGGACCUAUAAACAAAGCUUUCACUUCCAUUUCUCUAGGAUAAAAACAUCCCUUAACUUCACCUGAAGAUUCUGGGAUAAGAGCCCCAACACCUAAUUACAAUAUUCUUCUGAAAAUCAAAAGCUGCAUCUACAAUUAUUUUGUAUUGACCUGCCAAGGGAGGUUUCGAAACGCGGCAAGAGGGAGUAUUUUGUGCCAUGAGAUCAAUAGAAGGUGAUUUAUGUGGAGCCUCACAGAACUGUGCAAGAUAAUGGCUUGGAUGUCUAGAAGAAGAAAAGUAAGCGAAUGAGAAAGAUUGUGACAAUUUCCAAUCAGCCUUAUAGGCAAGGUGCAUAGAGAGCGUUGCUGCUGAUUCAAGAACUUGACGUUGCUGAAGAGCUGCAGCAACUGUUAGUGGACACUGGAUGGCCUGCCAAGCUAUGGUUUUUACUUUUGGUGGUAAUGUAAAAAGUUCAGAAAUUUUCCAACAGUGGAUAUGAUUUAUGGAGCUCUAAGAAGUGAGAAUUAUUCAGAGCUGUAGCUGUAUAAUAAUCAGAUUUCACUGUGUAAAGUCAAGUCUUGUAGAGGUAUGAUGUCUGUCUUCCUGUAGCGGAAAACUGAGAGGGAUGGAAAGGAUUCUGUCUAUAUCAAUAGAUUAAAAAUGAUUUUGCAAUAA